GGGUCUUCGAAAUAAUAAAAUCUGACAAUUUUUUAUUUUAUAAAUAUUCUACUAUAUUCACAAAAAGAAGUAAAUUUAUACCAAACAAUAAAAAAUUGCAUGAAGAUGGAUAAUAAAUGCAUAAAUAUAGGGAUAAGAGGAAAAGAAAAAAAAAACGAAAUGUCUAGGAAAAGUCAUGAAAAACUAAAAUUCUAAACAAAUUUGAACUUAUGUAAAAAACUGAAAUUAAUAACCAAAAUUUUAGUAAAAUGUUUGAUCAAAUUUUCAAAAGGAAUGUAUAUUUAGUCUAAAAAAUUAAAAAAUAAGGCGCCCAUUUCCUGAAUGAAUGCAUAUGAUUUUUACCUUAAAGAAGUUCACGAAAUCAGCUUGUCAACCUCCUAGUGGUGAGGAUGUGCGUAUGAACAUAGGUUCGAAUGAACUUCCUUGUAAACCAAUCAAAAUAACCAAUCUCCUUCUCAACCUCCUGCAACCAAGACAGAGCCGCCGUCAACAAGCUCAUGAUUUUCUGCCCCAACCCAUCUCUCGGAAACUUUGAUUACGCCGAGAAAGUCUUCCGUUUCAUCAAAGAUCCGUGCUUUUUUGUUUACGAUGUAAUGAUCAAGGCGUUUGCCAAAAGGAGUAGUUUCAGAAGCGCCGUUGAGCUCUUCCGGCGGCUGAGGGAGGAGGGAUUGUGCCCCUAUAAUUUUACCUACCCAUUUGUUUUAAAGCCAUUGGAUGCUUGGGAGAGGUUCGUGAAGGUGAAAAGGUUCAUGUGUUUGUGGUAAAAACUGGAAUUGGGUUUGACAGUAUGUGUGUAACUCGCUCAUUGACAUGAAUGCGUAAUUGGGCAUGGUUGAGAGUUUCAAGCAGGUGUUUGAUGAAAUACCCGAGAGAAACAGGCUUUGUUGGAACUUGGAACGUUACGAUUUCGAGGUAUGUUAGGUGCAGGAGGUUUGAGGAGGCUUUGGAUAUGUUUCGGAGGAUGUCAUGUGAGAGCAACGAGAAGCCCGAUGAAGCUACGGUUGUAACCACCAUUUCAGCUUGAACAGCAUCGAAAACUUUGGAGCUUGGUAAAGAAAUUCAUGAAUAUGUUAGAAGUGAACUUGGAUUCACUACUAGAACUGGAAAUGUGGUUGUUGAAUACGUAUGUAAAACUUUGCAGUUUGGCAUGAAGCCUGAUGAUUUCACCUUCAUUAUUGUCUUAACUGACUGCGUUCACAGAGGGUUGGUAGAUGAGGGUUGUGAGUUCUUCAACUCCAAUAGAAAGAUAUAUGUGAUUGAGCGAGGUUAGAACACUAUGGUUGCCUGAUCGACCUUCUUGGCCGUACCAGACUGUUAGACGAAGCAGAGGAGUUGAUAGAAAGGGUUCCAAGUGAGAUUAUAGUCCCGAUUUCUAUAUGUUUGCAUCCAUGGUCAGUAACUGCACAUUUCAAUCUAAAAUUUUGAUUUAGGACCGAAAAAGUCGAAGUAUGAUGCUAAUAAUUUGGUUCCACAAGAGAAUAUGGAUAUAUGUAAAGCAUACAACAAUUAACAACUGAACAACUAGUCAAUAUCGCAAAUGAAUUGUCAGUAAAAUGAGGAACAAAUCAUCUGUUGGAUGCGAUCAAAUCAAAUGUCCGAAUAAUGGAGCUGGGAAAACUAGAAAGACAGCUGACAUGGUCUGCGGGAGAGUAUAAUGCAGGAAUAGCAACUACUCAACCGAUCUGGCAAUGCUCUCUCUUCAAACCCUUUGCCUUUUCCGUUUGGGUUCAUCUGUAGUAGUCGUCAUUUGAUUAGUGGGAUGAUUAUCAG